rnacentral:snRNA from 1 species
GGAGGUGAGGGUGAUCUGGCUGUGGUAUCUGUCACCCCAUUGAUCACCAGGUAUGAUUCAGCUGAUCUAGCUGGCUAAGCAGGUGUCCCCUCCCUCCUUCAGUGCUCUAUGUGUGUCCCUCUGAAGUUGUACACUCUGCCAAGGAGGACGAUCUUCCCUGACUAGAGGAGGACCAGCCUUUGGUCAAGCAUAUAGGAGUAGCUGCGCUCCCCUGCUAGAACCUCCGAACAGGCUCUCAAGGUCCAUUUAUAGAAGAACAUAGGGUAGUCAAGCUUCCAAGAUGCCACAUCCCAAUGCAGUGUUGCACAUAGCAUUCUGCCUUCCAUU